AACGAACGCUGGCGGCAUGCCUAACACAUGCAAGUCGAACGAGACCUUCGGGUCUAGUGGCGCACGGGUGCGUAACGCGUGGGAACCUGCCCUUGGGUUCGGAAUAACUCCCCGAAAGGGAUGCUAAUACCGGAUAAUGUCUUCGGACCAAAGAUUUAUCGCCUUUGGAUGGGCCCGCGUUGGAUUAGCUAGUUGGUAGGGUAAAAGCCCACCAAGGCGACGAUCCAUAGCUGGUCUGAGAGGAUGAUCAGCCACACUGGGACUGAGACACGGCCCAGACUCCUACGGGAGGCAGCAGUAGGGAAUAUUGGACAAUGGGCGAAAGCCUGAUCCAGCAAUGCCGCGUGAGUGAUGAAGGCCUUAGGGUUGUAAAGCUCUUUUACCCGGGAUGAUAAUGACAGUACCGGGAGAAUAAGCUCCGGCUAACUCCGUG
rnacentral:rRNA from 1 species